GCGGCUACCUGGUCUGCAACUGACGCUGAGACUCGAAAGCAUGGGUAGCGAACAGGAUUAGAUACCUGGUAGUCCAUGCCGUAAACGAUGAGUGCUAGGUGUUGGAGGGUUUCCGCCCUUUCAGUGCCGGAGCUAACGCAUUAAGCACUCCGCCUGGGGAGUACGACCGCAAGGUUGAAACUCAAAGGAAUUGACGGGGGCCCGCACAAGCGGUGGAGCAUGUGGUUUAAUUCGAAGCUACGCGAAGAACCUUACCAGGUCUUGACAUCUUGCGCCAACCCUAGAGAUAGGGCGUUUCCUUCGGGAACGCAAUGACAGGUGGUGCAUGGUCGUCGUCAGCUCGUGUCGUGAGAUGUUGGGUUAAGUCCCGCAACGAGCGCAACCCUUGUUACUAGUUGCCAGCAUUAAGUUGGGCACUCUAGUGAGACUGCCGGUGACAAACCGGAGGAAGGUGGGGACGACGUCAGAUCAUCAUGCCCCUUAUGACCUGGGCUACACACGUGCUACAAUGGACGGUACAACGAGUCGCGAACUCGCGAGGGCAAGCAAAUCUCUUAAAACCGUUCUCAGUUCGGACUGCAGGCUGCAACUCGCCUGCACGAAGUCGGAAUCGCUAGUAAUCGCGGAUCAGCAUGCCGCGGUGAAUACGUUCCCGGGCCUUGUACACACCGCCCGUCACACCAUGAGAGUUUGUAACACCCAAAGUCGGUGGGGUAACCUU
rnacentral:rRNA from 2 species